rnacentral:tRNA from 1 species
CGGGGUGUAGCAUAGUGGUAGUGUACGCGGUUUGGGACCGUGUGGUCCGGGUUCGAUUCCCGGCUCCCCGACAA